GUGGGUAGUCCGCACGAGCGCACCUUGUCUUUAUUGCUACGCAAGAGCACUCUAGAGAGACUGCCGGUGACAAACCGGAGGAAGGUGGGGAUGACGUCAAGUCCUCAUGGCCCUUAUGGUAGGGCUUCACACGUCAUACAAUGGUGCGUACAGAGGGUUGCCAACCCGCGAGGGGGAGCUAAUCCCAGAAAACGCAUCGUAGUCCGGAUCGUAGUCUGCAACUCGACUACGUGAAGCUGGAAUCGCUAGUAAUCGCGGAUCAGCAUGCCGCGGUGAAUACGUUCCCGGGUCUUGUACACACCGCCCGUCACACCAUGGGAGUGGGUUUUGCCAGAAGUAGUUAGCCUAACCGCAAGGAGGGCGAUUACCACGGCAGGGUUCAUGACUGGGGUGAAGUCGUAACAAGGUAGCCGUAGGGGAACCUGCGGCUGGAUCACCUCCUU
rnacentral:rRNA from 1 species